GAGGAGCUUGCUUCUUGGGUGGCGAGUGGCGAACGGGUGAGUAACGCAUCGGAACGUACCGAGUAAUGGGGGAUAACUGUCCGAAAGGACAGCUAAUACCGCAUACGCCCUGAGGGGGAAAGCGGGGGAUCUUAGGACCUCGCGUUAUUCGAGCAGCCGAUGUCUGAUUAGCUGGUUGGCGGGGUAAAGGCCCACCAAGGCGACGAUCAGUAGCGGGUCUGAGAGGAUGAUCCGCCACACUGGGACUGAGACACGGCCCAGACUCCUACGGGAGGCAGCAGUGGGGAAUUUUGGACAAUGGGCGCAAGCCUGAUCCAGCCAUGCCGCGUGUCUGAAGAAGGCCUUCGGGUUGUAAAGGACUUUUGUCAGGGAAGAAAAGGGGCAUGUUAAUACCGUGCUCUGAUGACUGUACCUGAAGAAUAAGCACCG
rnacentral:rRNA from 1 species